ACAAACUUGGUCAUUUAGAGGAAGUAAAAGUCGUAACAAGGUUUCCGUAGGUGAACCUGCGGAAGGAUCAUUAAACAGCGGGUGUUGUGCUAUUAGGUUGCUAUGCUUCCCUUAGGUUUGCUGCGUGUAUCGCGCCAGAGCCUGCCUGGAUCGUAAGCCUUUAUGGUUGGAAUCAAAGAAAUGGUUCCUGGACUUCGAGAGGAUGUUGCUACGUCUUCGAAGGCUGUGGUUGUGCUGGCUCCCUAAGCAUGGGGCAUUCUAUCUCGUAGCUGUAACAGCUCCCUGCUCUAAACCUGUGUUUAUUCGCACCUUUAUUGUUUCUUUGGUGAUUGUGGUUGCCAAAGGAAAGUUCUACCUAAACCUUUUGCAGUAUGAGCAUUUUUCUGAUAGGAAAGUCAAAUCUUUACAACUUUCAACAAUGGAUCUCUUGGUUCUGGAAUCGAUGAAGAACGCAGC
rnacentral:misc_RNA from 1 species